GCGGAAAGCGCAGCGACCUGAAACUCGAAACCCAAGGCCCAGGCCGCGGGUCGUCGUGGGGCCGCCCCCCUGGCGGCUCCAGUGUGGCGUGGGGCACUCCGCACUGCCCGGACUCCCUGGGCCCUUGUUUCCAGAGUUGGCAGUAGUCGGGCAUAUUGAGGGACAAUACUUGUGAUUUCCGUGGCUCAGCAUCUGCUCUUGGAUCCUCUCGAGGCCUGCUAGAUUUCAGAAUCUCAAAGGUUUGGCCACUGCACUCCCAACCCCUAAAGUAAAGCAAGGUAGAUGCAUUAUUUAACAACACCGAGCCAUUAGCAUUUGGGGCCUCACCUCUCUGAGUUGGCCCUUGAGCAACUAAAUGCUCUAUUGAGGAGGCAAAAAACAAGUAUGAAAAAGGCUUUUUGCCAAUUGCUGUGGUACGUUCAACAUAUGAGGAUACCCGUUUCACCACAUCCUUGCUUUUUACUGGGUGUUCACAUAAGAAGCUUUCUGUUGUUGUUAAUGUAAUGGGCAUAAAAGGACGGCCCCAUCCACGUCAGCACUGCGCCUGCUCUAGAUGCCCCAGAACCUUCAGCUGCUGCUGCAGGGUGGCUGGAAUCAGACUCGCCACCUGCACGGUCGAGGGCAGGACCCCCAGGAGCGCCACUGGACCCAUCUCUUACACAGGCUGACCGAUUUCUCCUGGUGUUCAGAGUCUGUUUUUGUCUAGCACCAUUUGAAAUCGGUUAUGAUGUAGGGGGAAAAGCAGCAGCCUCGAAGCCUCAUGCCAACCGUGGUGAGCAAGCGCCUGUGGUCUCCUGGAGGACGGAUGGGCAGAGAGUGGGGAAGGACGAUCUCGCGCUUUUUUCACUAACUUCUUUAACUGCAUUUAUGAUGCCUUAUUGCAGAGGUAAGAGAGAACUGAAUGUCUUUUGAAAAACAAAUGGCCAUAAUGCAUCUGAUGUCCCGG